rnacentral:rRNA from 1 species
CCUACGGGAGGCAGCAGUGAGGAAUAUUGGUCAAUGGGCGCGAGCCUGAACCAGCCAAGUCGCGUGAAGGAUGACUGCCCUACGGGUUGUAAACUUCUUUUAUAAGGGAGUAAAGUGAGGCACGUGUGCCGUUAUGGAUGUACUCUAACAAUAAGGCACCGGCAACUACGUUCCAGCAGCCGCGGUCAUACGGAGGAUUCGAGGGUUAUCCGGAUUUAGUGGGUUUAAAGGGAGCGCAGAUGGGAUGUUAAGUCAGUUGUGAAAGAUUGGGGCUCAACCCUAGUAUUGCAAUUGAUACUGGCAGUCUUGAGUACAGUAGAGGUAGGCGGAAUUCGUGGUGUAGCGGUGAAAUGCGUAGAUAUCACGAAGAACUCCGAUUGCGAAGGCAGCCUACUAGACUGCCACUGACACUGAUGCUCGAAAGUGUGGGUAUCAAACAGGAUUAGAUACCCUUGUAGUC